rnacentral:rRNA from 1 species
GGGAUAACCAAGCGAAAGUUUGGCUAAUACCGCAUAAGCUCUAAGGAGGAAGGUAGGGGACCGUAAGGCCUUACGCUAUUUGAUCGGCCGAUGUCGGAUUAGCUAGUUGGUGAGGUAAUUGCUCACCAAGGCGAUGAUCCGUAGCGGGCUGAGAGGACGAUCCGCCACACUGGGACUGAGACACGGCCCAG